GUGGAGGACGAAGGCCUUCGGGUUGUAAACUCCUGUCGAGGGGGAAAAAGGGCGGCGACGCCUUGAUUGAUCCCUGGAGGAAGCACGGGCUAAGUUCGUGCCAGCAGCCGCGGUAAGACGAACCGUGCGAACGUUAUUCGGAAUCAUUGGGCUUAAAGCGCGUGUAGGCGGGUUCGUGCGUCCGACGCUGAAAUCCCCCGGCUCAACCGGGGAACGGGCGGGGAUACGACGAGCCUGGAGGGGCGUAGGGGGACCUGGAACUUCCGGUGGAGCGGUGAAAUGCGUUGAGAUCGGAAGGAACGCCCGUGGCGAAAGCGAGGUCCUGGACGCCUACUGACGCUGAGACGCGAAAGCCAGGGGAGCGAACGGGAUUAGAUACCCCGGUAGUCCUGGCCGUAAACGAUGGGUACUGGAUAGGGGGCUCGCCGAUGGGCUCCCUGUCGUAGGGAAACCGUGAAGUACCCCGCCUGGGGAGUAUGGUCGCAAGGCUG
rnacentral:rRNA from 1 species